UAUACAAUGUUAUAUGAUGAUUUACAGUACUGGCAAUAUGGAAAAACUUUAAAAAUGUUUGGAUUUCUAUUUUUACCAAGCUUCAGUUGCUUUUAUGAAGGAUAGUGUUUGUGUUAUUGUCCACUGGAGCCCAGCUAAGAACAUCAGAACAUUAUCCUGCCCUGCCCCUGCAAGUAAUGAACUCAUUUCCAGUUUGUAAAAUAUGUUGUUUGUGGUUUCCUGAAAGGGAGAUAGCAGCUAGCUGUUCCUGCUCCCACUGAACAUGGUGUCAGGGUUGUCAGCUUGUAUCAAAGAUUGCAGGCCCCUGCAGGCAUCAGUGCAGAAUUAGGGGAGGAGCAUCCCUUUAUUUUAUUUUACCAUCAUGAUUACACUACUGCAAGUAAUCUACAACCUGAUAGUUCCAGCCUCAACUUCACAACUUCAUGCUUCAGGACAAGUAGCAGUGAUGCUUUUAUAAUAUCAAAAGUUGCUGAUAUGCAUUGGCUGUUCCUUGUCUGCUAUAGAGUUUUCCUCCUCUGGGCUACAGUGUCAACUCUCUGCUUCCCAGUUUCUCUGCACCAGACUGGACAUAAAGUCUAUGUCAUCUCCACAGCCACUCAGACAGAGACACAAGAAAAUAAGAAGUCUUCUAAAACAAGGAGCUUCUUCUGGAGCAGAAAGCCUUCCAGCUGAAAUUCAUGUGAGCCCAGGAAUGCCCAGAAAGAGCAUUGCCAGCAAGGAGGAGGAGGUGAUCCUGCCCCUCUCCUCAGCCCUGGUGAGGCCACACUUGGAGUUCUGUGACCAGUUCUGGGCUUCUCAAUACAAGUGAGACAUGGAAGUCCUGAAGCAGAUCCAGUGAAGGUUACAAAAAUGACUACUUGACAGGAGCAUCUCUCUUACAAUGAAAGGCUGAGGAAGCUGGGCCUGUAGACUCGAGAAGAGGUGACUGAGAAUGGAUCUCAUCAAUGUCUCACAAGCUACUCACUCCAGCAACCACAGAAGCGAUUGCAGUCCUGGGAAACCAAGAUGAGCAGAAGCCCUCGUGCAUUAAAGGUAAAGCAACUUCAGCAGUAGAAAAAUGAAAAAAGGAACAUAUCCUCUCCCUGCUGUUCAGAUGCUGCUGAAGUCCCCUACCAUUUUAUUUUCAAUUGUAUACUGUCUUUUUUUAAUUCACCCACCCAUGUUUCACUUUUGUAAGGUGGACUGUGAACCUGCCAGAGUUAAAAAGGGUACCCAAAAUUCAUGUCUGUAGACUACAUCAUUUCAAAAUCAUGCACAGAGAGUAUUGGAAACAUGUUCUAGAAAAAUAAAAAAAUUCCAAAUGUUGGAAUACAGUCUUUGGGACUUCAUGCUUCCAGGGUGAGGUAACCACCAUGAAGCUCAAAUGUGAGUUACUUUUAUAACAAUGCUACAUUUGUUGACACCACAAGGAACUCAGAAAUUUUGGCAAAACAGUUACAGAGGUUUUAAUUCAAGUGUUGCAUCCACUCUGAUAUUCAGCUAUAAAUUACUACCUGGCCUUUUAAAUUGAGGAGCUGAAUAUAAUUACAUACAUCUUCCGGUUGUUAUUGAUUACAGAAACACCACAACCUAUUUUCACCCUAGGGCUAACUAGGUUCAGAUGUACCCUGUCCUUUCUAUGCAGACCACAGAAAACAAAGAUGCUUUAAGGAAUACCUUGAAAUUGGUGUCUAUUUGUCUGUGCAAAAAUAUAAUUUGUUCAGAGAAUCUAAAUUAAUUGUUCCACUUCCCUGCUGCAGAGAUAAAAGUUAUUAAUGUUUCUUCAUAUGUGAAGGCAGCAUUUGCACUGAUGUGGUAACAUUUGCCAAAACAAGAAAAAUCUUCAGUGGACGAAUAUUUUUUCUGUCAUAUGCUAUCAUUCCCUCCUCUGAAAAAAUUCUGGAUUAGACUUCUUUGACUUAUUGAAGUAGAGACCUAGGGCACAAUUCUUAUAAGCAGCUUUAUGUAGUACAAAGACUCGGCAAGAUCCCAACACAGUUCUAAGCACUAUACAGACACCUACAGAAAGACAAAUCCAUAUACCCACUCAACCCUGAAAGAUAUUUAUACCAGUGCAAAAUGAAUGUAUUAUACUGUCAUUCUGGUUUGAUGGUAACUGAGGUCCAUCAGCAAAUUAAUUGUGUGCAGCAUCAAAAUAGUGCUGAGGGACACAACAGUCCCUGCCCUGGCGGCUUCACAACUACUUUUCCAUCCUUUCCCUGUUACACUUGUGUGGGCUCUACACACAGGCACCAAGUCUUCAGACUUAGAAAGGAUUCAAAAUAAAACACACCAAAACAAAAACCCCAUUGUGUACUUUCUGAUUAAUUUUUGAGUGCACCUGAAGCAAUUACAAGGGUAGUCCUGGUAUUCUUCAUAGAGUCUGUCCCUUAAUGUGCACCAUAAUUAGAGGAAACUUGGAUCCCAACAGACAUGGUUUCUAAAGACUUGAGAGAUUGGCAAGGGAGGGUGGGGAGCAGGGAAACAAGGAAGGUCAUUAAACAUAGGCAAGGCAGCUCUGCUUGCCCCUCUCAGCACAGACCAAUGCAAAUAUGUGGUCUGAAAAUUAACACAGUUAGGAAGGAAACAUCCCACAGGGAGA